UAAAAUUUUUGUAUCUUCAAAUACAUUAUUCAUUUAUAGGGAAGUCCUAUUUUAAAAUAGAUUUUCAUAUUAAUCCCGUUAGUGUUUUUAACUACGACACUGUUUUCAUAUUAAUACCUUAAUUCUUUUAAAUAUUAUGCAUUUUCAUAAUUUAAAAUCACCUCAAAAGAGUUAAAAGGACAAAGGAACAACCCCACAGGAAAACUACUGUAUCCAUAUGCUAACUUGAGCUAGAUACUCAGACAAUUUCUUUCUUGUAAACCCAAUACCUUUAAUGCAUUCAAAUUUUCCAGCAUCUUCUACUCUGUCAAAGAACAUUAAGCAUUAUAAGAGAAAAACAACUUGUAUUAUUUCAUUUUGAGAAUCAACGCCUGCCAAUAAAAAUUGAGAGUAACUACAAUAUCUCUGCUACAUCUGAAUGAAGAUAUCAUUUCCAAAAUCCACAAGGAAAGUCUUAACAUGUAAGCAUGGAAGUGUAGUCAAAGAAUUUGAACCAAGGUUUCAAAUAGGCCAAAAGAAUAUUGUAAAUUGCAGUUACAGUCACAGUACUAUUAACAACAAUAAUUACAGGAAUAUAUGGCCACGAUCACGGUAAAAUUAAACUCAAGGAUCAAAAUCUAAAAAUUAGCCUUAUUCAGCCACAAAUAAGCACAAUGUCAAGGUUUCAGUUCUCUACAAUCAUAAGUAACCACAUCACGAGUUUCCGCAGCAAGAAGAAUCAUAAUAAAGUGAUAAACCUUGAUUUGCCAUAGUAAAACAACAUUUCACCGGAAAAUUGUUUUGGACAAAAAGAAAUGCACAUUGAUGAUUUGGUUGUAUGAAAACAAACAUAUCAUGAAAGACGAAAUUUAGGGCAGUUUUCCUGCUUUUAAACAUGAGGGUAAGCAUGUUCAAUCUUUGAGGCUGCCCCCCAAAAAAGAGAUCAGAUCUUGGCCGGGUGAAAUUGAGAUCUCAAACAGCAUUUGCUGAGAACCCAUUGGAGCGGCCUAAAACAAUUGUUGAAAACCGUAAACAAAUUAAUAAAAGUAACUAAUGAGAACGAUAAUGAAUCAAAGGCUAUGUGCAAAUCUUCCCACAUACUUUCUGCAAUAUCAGAAUCAAAUCGCAGAAACAAAAUGAGAAAAAUUAGGGUUUUCUAUGCGCCCGCAACGGAACUCGGACGCCACUGCAUUGCUGCUGCGCUCGGUUCUCUCAAAGGCACUUGAAUCCC
rnacentral:lncRNA from 1 species